UGGUGGAGUGAUUUGUCUGGUUGAUUCCGAUAACGAACGAGACGGGGAGAGUUAACUAGGUUCUUGAAUAACUCACGUUAUUUAAACCUUCUUUGCUCGACAACUUGGUUUUACCAAGGGGAAGCGCCCCGCAAUAACA
rnacentral:rRNA from 1 species